CCUACGGGAGGCUGCAGUGAGGAAUAUUGGUCAAUGGGCGCAAGCCUGAACCAGCCAAGUCGCGUGAAGGAUGACGGCCCUACGGUUUGUAAACUUCUUUUAUAAAGGAAUAAAGUGAGGCACGUGUGCCUUUUUGUAUGUACUUUAUGAAUAAGGAUCGGCUAACUCCGUGCCAGCAGCCGCGGUAAUACGGAGGAUCCGAGCGUUAUCCGGAUUUAUUGGGUUUAAAGGGUGCGUAGGUGGUUUGUUAAGUCAGUGGUGAAAGUUUGCGGCUCAACCGUAAAAUUGCAGUUGAUACUGGCAGUCUUGAGUACAGUUGAGGUAGGCGGAAUUCGUGGUGUAGCGGUGAAAUGCUUAGAUAUCACGAAGAACUCCGAUUGCGAAGGCAGCCUACUAAACUGUGACUGACGUUGAUGCUCGAAAGUGUGGGUAUCAAACAGGAUUAGAUACCCUAGUAGUC
rnacentral:rRNA from 1 species